GUUUGCUUCAGUAGACCAUAUACUAAAAUUUUAAUCAUACAGAGAAGAUUAGCAUGGCCCUUGUGAAAGGAUGAGACAUAAAAUAUAUGGGGGGCUAGGGUUAGGU